GAUGAAUGCUAAGUGUUGGAGGGUUUCCCCCUUCAGUGCUGCAGCUAACGCAUUAAGCAUUCCGCCUGGGGAGUACGGCCGCAAGGCUGAAACUCAAAGGAAUUGACGGGGGCCCGCACAAGCGGUGGAGCAUGUGGUUUAAUUCGAAGCUACGCGAAGAACCUUACCAGGUCUUGACAUACUAUGCAAAUCUAAGAGAUUAGACGUUCCCUUCGGGGACAUGGAUACAGGUGGUGCAUGGUUGUCGUCAGCUCGUGUCGUGAGAUGUUGGGUUAAGUCCCGCGACGAGCGCAACCCUUAUUAUCAGUUGCCAGCAUUAAGUUGGGCACUCUGGUGAGACUGCCGGUGACAAACCGGAGGAAGGUGGGGAUGACGUCAAAUCAUCAUGCCCCUUAUGACCUGGGCUACACACGUGCUACAAUGGAUGGUACAACGAGUUGCGAACUCGCGAGAGUAAGCUAAUCUCUUAAAGCCAUUCUCAGUUCGGAUUGUAGGCUGCAACUCGCCUACAUGAAGUCGGAAUCGCUAGUAAUCGCGGAUCAGCAUGCCGCGGUGAAUACGUUCCCGGGCCUUGUACACACCGCCCGUCACACCAUGAGAGUUUGUAACACCCAAAGUCGGUGGGGUAACCUUUAGGAACCAGCCGCCUAAGGUGGGACAGAUGAUUAGGGUGAAGUCGUAACAAGGUAACCA
rnacentral:rRNA from 1 species